CGGCGGACGGGUGAGUAACGCGUGGACAACCUGCCCUAUGCAGGGGGAUAACAUCCGGAAACGGGUGCUAAUACCGCAUAAGCGCACAGUACCGCAUGGUACGGUGUGAAAAGCUGAGGCGGCAUAGGAUGGGUCCGCGUUGGAUUAGGCAGUUGGCGGGGUAACGGCCCACCAAACCGACGAUCCAUAGCCGGCCUGAGAGGGUGGACGGCCUCAUUGGGACUGAGACACGGCCCAGACUCCUACGGGAGGCAGCAG
rnacentral:rRNA from 1 species